rnacentral:RNase_MRP_RNA from 1 species
AAGCACGGCUUCGCAGCUCGCACACGGGGAGCUUGCUCCCAUUCACGCUGCGGGGAAAGUCCCCGUGCCUUGAGGCAGAGAGUGUCAGCGGGA